AAGACUAUACUUUCAGGGAUCAUUUCUCUAAUUUUUAACUGGUGGAAUGUGUUCGAAAGUGUCUAAACUCAGUAACCACAAGGAAGAGCUUCAGGGUUUUUUUUCUGUGCACGAGAUGAGUUUCUCUAACUUCUGCAUGGAGUCGCUGGUUACUUUUGAUGAAUGCACUGGGUUUCUUAAAUGGGAUUUAGCAUGGAGAAAACCCAAUCUGAGUGGU